GAUUUUCGAACAUAAAGCAAGUUUUGGAGCUUUGAGGUUCAAGAAACUCAAUCUCUUCCAUCUCCGAGCUAGGGUCGUUUUCCUCUCGAUCUUCAAGAGGUAAGGGCCGAUCUUGAGCUCACUGUAUGUUUUGAACAAGUUUUAAGUUGAUCUAUGGGGUAGAAAUGCAUGUUUAGGUUUUGGUUGGUUUUAUGGGUUAUGUUAAGUUUUUGAGCAAUGUAUGAUGUUUGAGGUUGCUUGAUGUGUUGUAGUUGGGGAUUAAGAUAGUUUGAAGCCCCUAGGAGCUUGUAUGCUUGAGUAUGCAUGU
rnacentral:lncRNA from 1 species